rnacentral:rRNA from 1 species
CUACGUGCCAGCAGCCGCGGUAAUACGUAGGUGGCAAGCGUUGUCCGGAAUUAUUGGGCGUAAAGCGCGCGCAGGCGGAUUGGUCAGUCUGUCUUAAAAGUUCGGGGCUUAACCCCGUGAUGGGAUGGAAACUGCCAAUCUAGAGUAUCGGAGAGGAAAGUGGAAUUCCUAGUGUAGCGGUGAAAUGCGUAGAUAUUAGGAAGAACACCAGUGGCGAAGGCGACUUUCUGGACGAAAACUGACGCUGAGGCGCGAAAGCCAGGGGAGCGAACGGGAUUAGAUACCCCGGUAGUCCUGGCCGUAAACGAUGGGUACUAGGUGUAGGAGGUAUCGACCCCUUCUGUGCCGGAGUUAACGCAAUAAGUACCCCGCCUGGGGAGUACGACCGCAAGGUUGAAACUCAAAGGAAUUGACGGGGGCCCGCACAAGCGGUGGAGUAUGUGGUUUAAUUUGACGCAACGCGAAGAACCUUACCAGGUCUUGACAUUGAUGGAUAGAACUAGAGAUAG